GGUAGUGCUGAUGUUUCUGGUGUGGUGGUGAUGGUGGAGAUAGCACCGAUGGUGGAGGAUGAUGGUGAUGAUGUUUCUGGUAAUGGUGAUGUCUGUGGUAUGGUAAACUGGGGGUGGUAAAGAUGGAUGAUGGUGGGGUGAUGUUGGUGGGAAUAAUGGUGGCGGUGAGGGUGAUAUGUGUAGGGGUAAAGUUAGACCUCUGAUCUAGCUCUCUGUCACACCAUGCACUGCCACACAAUUUCAUACAGUUCCAGGCUGGGUGUCUUCUAGUAAAACUAAAGCCUCUAAAGCAACUUGCAUGGAUGUGUAGCUAACACUGCUCCUAAGAAACAAGCUAAAGCAGUGUGAGAAGUGACCACCAGAUGACAGUAAAGAAGUACAGAAGAGCCCAGCUGUACCUCUGGGAUUGAACCCUGGUCUCCAAGCAGCAAGUCCCUCCUGCUGGGACUGUGUCUCUGCAGGACGCUCAGGCUGUGGGAACUCCAGGACAUUCGAGGGUCACAGUGUGCCAAGCAUUUCCUGACUGCAACUUACUAACAGACCCUGGGCUGGAACCGCCAGGCUGAGUCUCUCGAAUUCCUGACACUGUGAUGAUAAGUGUGUGUUGUUAUGACCUGCUAACCGUGGAGAUGAUUUGUUACUCCUAGCAUAUGGCAAACAGUCAAUGGUGUUUGCUGUAAUUGUUAAUUAGGUGACUAUUAAACGCAGAGAAGUUA